AAAAAAAAAAAAAAAAAAAAAAAAAGGGUCUUUGCUGUCACAAUUAAGCCUCUCAACAUGAGAUCAUCCUGGAUUGUUUAGAUGGGCCCUAAAUAUCACAACUAGAGUUUUGUUGUUGUUGUUGUUGGUUUGUUUCUUUGUUUUUGUGACGGAGUCUCACUCUAUCACCCGGCUGGAGUGCAGUGGUGUGAUCUUGGCUCACUGCAACCUCCACCUCCCGGGUCCAAGCGACUUUCCUGCCUCACCGUCCUGAGUAGCUGGGAUGACAGGUGCCCCCACCACACCCAGCCUAAUUUUUGUAUUUUUAGUAGAGACGGGGUUUCACCAUGUUGGCCAGGCUGGUCUCGAACUCCUGACCUCAAGCGAACAACUAGCAUUUUUAUAAACUACAGAAGACGGUGGCUAUUCAUCUGCCCCCUCUCUCCUGGGUAUUUGCGUGUCAGGUGCAGAGAUGGAGUCUUCUGAGGGCGCACAUCACAGCGUAGACAGAAAGUUGAGGUUGUACAUGCCGCAGGUUCCAGAUGGAAAUCACUAGUGCCUCCUCUUCUCUCUAAUAGGCACACUAGACACAGCAGGUGCAUUUUGGCGGUGGGAUGAGGUCCGACAGUCACCUUUAUUUUUUAUUUAUGUAUUCAUUAGUAUUAUUAUUUUUUGAGACUGAGUCUUAAACUGUCACCCAGGCUGGAGUGCAGUGGCGGCAUCUCGGCUCACUGCAACCUCCACUUCCCAGGUUCAAGGGAUUCUCCUGCCUCAGCCUCCUGAGUAGCUGGGAUUAUAGGCGCCCAUCACCAUGCCCAGCUAAUUUUUGUAUUUUUAGUAGGGACGGGGUUCGCCAUGUUGGUGAGGCUGGUCUCCAACUCUUUUUUUUUUUUUUUUUUUUUUUUGAGACGGAGUCUCGCUGUCUCCCAGGCUGGAGUUCAGUGCCUCAAUCUCGGCUCACUGCAAGCUCCACCUCCCGUGUUCUCGCCAUUCUCCUGCCUCAGCCUCCCCAGUAGCUGGGACUACAGGCGCCCGCCACCACACCUGGCUAAUUUUUUGUAUUUUUAGCCAUGGGGUUUCACCAUGUUAGCCAGGAUGGUCUCAAUCUCCUGACCUCGUGAUCUGCCUGCCUCGGCCUCCCAAAGUGCUGGGAUUACAGACAUGUGCCACCACGCCUGGCUAAUUUUUUGUAUUUUUAGUAGAGAUGGGGUUUCACCGUGUUGGCCAGGCUGGUCUCGAACUCCUGACCUUGGAUGAUCUGCUCGCCUCGGCCUCCCAAAUUGCUGGGAUGACAGACGUGAACCACCGUGCCUGGCCGACAGUCACCUUUAGAAUGUGAACAGUGGACACUGUGUUGGGGUCUCCUACCUGUGCCUGUGAUGUGGACUGGCCCAUCUCGUCAUGGACAAGUAGAGAUGGGGUUUCACCAUGUUGAGCAGUCUGGUCUUGAACUUCUGACCUCGUGAUCCACCCGCCUCAGCCCCCCAAAGUGCUGGGAUUACAGGCGUGAGCCACCGCGCCCGGCCUGAGACGGCUUUCCAAGGCUGCAGAAAUGAAGUCUGCAAUAGCAGAUCCUCUUUGCCUGGGUUUGCACGUGAUCCAGCAAACCACCCACCGACCCGUUGCCUCAUGUGAGACAUCCUCAGGGAACAGCAAGGUGAGCGUGCCGCAGAAUUUUGAAGGUCCCUGAUAAGACAUCUUUGAGGUCAGGCAUAAAUCAUCACUUCACAUCUUGACGGCAAUGCAACGAAGACAAGUAUCUGUCUCUUUGGGUCUGUCUAACAAGGAGCAAAGCCUGGCCUCCCACCAGCAUCCAGACAAUAGUGGAUUCCCUCUCCAUAGAUGUCAAAAAAGAAACAGAUGCUCCCGCAGGUGAAAUGAGCUCUGGUCCACAAUGCAACGCAGGCUGUGCAGAAAAUCAAAGAGGAACCAACCCAGAAGUAUCCCCCAGGACAAAUCAUUAAGGGGGAAAAGAUAUAAGAAGGGCCCUAAAUGCAAUGACAGCUGUUCUAAGAGACAGAAGAGGAGACGCAGACACAGAGGAGAAGGCCACGUGUAGACAGAGGCAGAGACUGCAGUGAUGUGGCCACAAGCCCAGGGAUGCCUGGAGCCCCCAGGAGCUGGGAGAGGCAGGAAGGAUCCUCCUCUAGAGCCUCCAGAAGGAACUGGAUACAAUUGGAAUGGGUUAUAUGGUGAUCCCCAAAAUAUAUGUUUAUUUCCUUUUCCCCAGAACCUAUAAAUGCAAUCUUACUUGGAAACAGGAUCUCUGCAAAUGUAAUUAGUGAAGGAUCUUGAAAUAAAACCUGUCCUAGAUUAGGGGGUCCUAAAUGCAAGGACAGGUGUCCUUCUAAACACAGAAGGGGAGACCCAGACAGAGGAGAAGGCCACAUGGAGACAGAGACUGGAGUGGUGUAGCCACGAGCCCAGGAAUGCUGGGAGCCCCUGGGA
rnacentral:lncRNA from 1 species